GAUGAACGCUGGCGGCGUGCCUAAUACAUGCAAGUCGAGCGAACAGACGAGGCGCUUGCUCCUCUGCCGUUAGCGGCGGACGGGUGAGUAACACGUGGAUACUCUACCUAUAAGACUGGGAUCACUUCGGGAAACCGGAGCUAAUACCGGAUAAUAUAUUGAACCGCAUGGUUCAAUAGUGAAAGACGGAUUUGCUGUCACUUAUAGAUGGAUCCGCGCCGCAUUAGCUAGUUGGUAAGGUAACGGCUUACCAAGGCAACGAUGCGUAGCCGACCUGAGAGGGUGAUCGGCCACACUGGAACUGAGACACGGUCCAGACUCCUACGGGAGGCAGCAGUAGGGAAUCUUCCGCAAUGGGCGAAAGCCUGACGGAGCAACGCCGCGUGAGUGAUGAAGGUCUUCGGAUCGUAAAACUCUGUUAUUAGGGAAGAACAAAUGUGUAAGUAACUAUGCACGUCUUGACGGUACCUAAUCAGAAAGCCACGGCUAACUACGUG
rnacentral:rRNA from 1 species